rnacentral:rRNA from 1 species
UGGCGGACGGGUGAGUAACGCGUGGGUAACCUGCCUCAUACAGGGGGAUAACAGUUAGAAAUGACUGCUAAUACCGCAUAAGACCACAGAGCCGCAUGGCUCAGUGGGAAAAACUCCGGUGGUAUGAGAUGGACCCGCGUCUGAUUAGGUAGUUGGUGGGGUAACGGCCUACCAAGCCAACGAUCAGUAGCCGACCUGAGAGGGUGACCGGCCACAUUGGGACUGAGACACGGCCCAA